rnacentral:lncRNA from 1 species
AAGUGGGAGUUUUUGCGCUCUCUAUCAAAAUUCGGAUCCUAUAUAUGGUGCAUGCUUUGACUCUAUCUCUGAUGCUCAAGCCUCAUUUGAGAAUGCUCUUAGCUCUGAAUUCUCAAACAUGUUGAAAAUGCCCUCAGCAGUUUUCACUUAAUAUGUACAACAAAAAGCAUCCAUACAUGAUCUCUCUACUUAAAUAAAAUUGUUUUAUAUGUCUUUGGUUCCAACCAUGUUUGGAUUUCAUAGACACUUAAAUUUCAAAAAUAAUAUAUGAAUGUGUGUGGGUAUGUACUUUGUUAUCAAUGUUUUUAGAUUGCAAGUAAUGCAAUCAAAUGACUCUAUGAAUGUUUUCAUUAAUAUUUUAAGAGAGUAUUGGAGUU